GGGGGGUAUUCGGUUGCUCCAUCUCAAGCGAGUAGUGGCGUUUCUUGUUUCUAGCAGCAGCUCCAACUUUGUUUCCGACAAUAACCUCAUGAUAGCAUUCUGUUUUCUUCACUGAGCAACUGCAGUUCUGAAUUGAGGAUUUUGAUUCGAGACGACGUCUCGAUGUGGGAUCUAUUUCGGAUACGAUCUCCAUUUUUAAGGUGAGUACCUUUGACUUAGCUUUUUGAUAUUGUCAUUCUGAUAUUCUUAGUGAGUUAUAACUAGUAGUAAUAGUUAUGUCUAUAUCUGCUUGGUAUGUCACUACUUGAUACCGUAGUUUACCAUAUUGUUAUUUGUUAUGUAUUUAUGUUUAUGUCCUCUUGAUUAUUGCAUUUUGUACUUAUGUAGUGACAUACAAUGCAUUACCGGAUACAGGUCUAGAUACUAGAUUUACUUGACAUGUGUACAUAGUUUACUACCUGGCAUGUGUAUCUAGGUUUAUUACUUGACAUGUGUGCCUAGAUCAUUGAUAUGGACUUGAUUUUCCUUUUGAUACACAUUAUGAGGAGGUUGGUAUUUUCAAAAUUAUAUGUUUAGUGUCAUGCACCAUUUUGCAUAAUUGCAUGCUGAGCGAUUGUCGGCUCCAUUGUUGUUGAGCA